AUCUUCCGCAAUGGACGAAAGUCUGACGGAGCAACGCCGCGUGAGUGAUGAAGGCUUUCGGGUCGUAAAACUCUGUUGUUAGGGAAGAACAAGUGCUAGUUGAAUAAGCUGGCACCUUGACGGUACCUAACCAGAAAGCCACGGCUAACUACGUGCCAGCAGCCGCGGUAAUACGUAGGUGGCAAGCGUUAUCCGGAAUUAUUGGGCGUAAAGCGCGCGCAGGUGGUUUCUUAAGUCUGAUGUGAAAGCCCACGGCUCAACCGUGGAGGGUCAUUGGAAACUGGGAGACUUGAGUGCAGAAGAGGAAAGUGGAAUUCCAUGUGUAGCGGUGAAAUGCGUAGAGAUAUGGAGGAACACCAGUGGCGAAGGCGACUUUCUGGUCUGUAACUGACACUGAGGCGCGAAAGCGUGGGGAGCAAACAGGAUUAGAUACCCUGGUAGUCCACGCCGUAAACGAUGAGUGCUAAGUGUUAGAGGGUUUCCGCCCUUUAGUGCUGAAGUUAAC
rnacentral:rRNA from 1 species